GCUUGGCUGGCUCAGUCAGUAGAGCAUGGGACUCUUGAUCUCAGGGUCAUGAGUUCAAACCCCAAGUAGGGCA
rfam:Ailuropoda melanoleuca scaffold354_34, whole genome shotgun sequence.